rnacentral:misc_RNA from 1 species
GAUGAAGAACGUAGCGAAACGCGAUAAGUAGUGUGAAUUGCAGAAUUCAGUGAAUCAUCGAAUCUUUGAACGCACAUUGCGCCCCUUGGUAUCCCGAGGGGCAUGCCUGUUCGAGCGUCAUUUCACCACUCAAGCCUGGCUUGGUGUUGGGCGACGUCCUCUUUGGGGACGCGCCUCGAAACGCUCGGCGGCGUGGCACCGGCUUUAAGCGUAGCAGAAUCUUUCGCUUUGGAAGUCGGGGCCCCGUCUGCCGGAAGACCUGCUCGCAAGGUUGACCUCGGAUCAGGCAGGGAUACCCGCUGAACUUAAGCAUAUCAAUAAGCGGAGGA